UACGGGGGGGGCAAGCGUUGUUCGGAAUUACUGGGCGUAAAGGGCUUGUAGGUGGCCAACUAAGUCAGACGUGAAAUCCCCUCGGCUUUAACCGGGGAACUGCGUCUGAUACUGGAUGCUCGAGUUUGGGAGAGGGAUGCGGAAUUCCAGGUGUAGCGGUGAAAUGCGUAGAUAUCUGGAGGAACACCGAUAGCGAAGGCAGCUUGCUACACGAGUAUUGACACUGAGGCACGAAAAGCGUGGGGGAUCAAACAGG
rnacentral:rRNA from 1 species